rnacentral:lncRNA from 12 species
AUGAGGAGAUUGCCAGACCACGACGAUCUACUCCAACACCCACGACAACCCCAGGUCCUGGUUCUGACCCUCCCAGAGAAAACACAAGAGCAUUCUUCGGCCCACCGUUCGAGACCAGUUUUGAAGCACACAACUCAGAAGUGUUCCUGGUUGAGCCGGAGCUCUGGUGUCAGUCCACUUCUCUCUCCACCUGUGUUCUCAGCAGAUCUCUGCCCACUGGAGGUACUGCAUGUCAAAUGUCCAAAAUGUUUUUGAUAAUGCCAGUUUAAAGGCACCAGUAAAACACACAAUGGUGAAAAAUGCUAAAAUAGUUCCUAAUGAAAGGCUUGAAUGCAACAAAGCAUCACAUUUCACUGCUCACUGCAGAGAUCUACAAGAUUAACCAGAAAAAAAUCACAUGUAUUAGCAACAAGAUGCUUUGAACGGGUCACAAAAAUAAUCCACUUUAAUUUAUAAUUAUUACUGAUUUUAUUAAUUGAUUGGCAAUGUAAGUUUAUAUGCAUAAACAAGGGUGCUAGGAACAUGUCUCCUUUAAAGCAGUGUUAUUUUAUUAUUAUUUAUAUUUAUUUUAGUUUUUAACUAAUAUUUUGAGUUAGCUUUUAUUUUUUAUUUUAAAUGUAUUUUUAAAUUAAGUUUACUUUUUUGGUAAUUUUGUUGUGCUUUUGUCAUUUUUAUUAGUUUUGUUUUAUAAAAAUACUUCCAAAUAGUUUUAAGUCAUUUUUAUUUUAGUUUUCAUUUUAGCUUUAUUUCAGCUAGUAAUUUAGAUGUUAGAUGUAAGCAUGCGUUGCGAUAUUUUAAUCGUCAUAAUGUAAGCUAUUUAUACUGUGCGUGCAGUAUUCAAUACGAAAGUACUUCUUUCCUUUCAGCUCCGCCUCCACUUCCUCCAAAGAACAUUCCUGUCACCCCACCUGGACGCAGUUUUAGCUCUGUAGAGUCCUCCGGUAUGUACUGACACUUCAAAUUUAGCAUCCAAAGACACGUAGUUUCAAUCUCUUGAAAGAACCAAGUUCCUGUUCAGAAGUGUCUUACUACAGAAUACUUGUUCUCAGCUCUAUGUUUGUGGUUGGGGUGUGCGAUAUCAACAAAAAUUACACUGAUAUUUUCAUAACAUUCUGUGCAGUGGGACGAUAUUUGCCACCUUAAAAUGAUUUCCUGAGACAUUUUUAUCUUUAUAAGAGCAUUUUUUUCUAACCUUAUUAUUGAAUUGAUUAACUAUAUGAAUAUUGCAUUAAAAAAAAUAUGCAUACCUCAUCUUUUAUGUCAAGUUCUUAAAUGUAAUCAUUAAAUUCAGCUAGGCUGUUACCAAUCAAAUUCAAUCUAAUUUUAAAUCAAAUAAAAUCUAAUUUUGCUCUCCAGAAGUUGCAUAGAAGCAAUUUAGAUGUAUUCACACUUCAAUUUCAUUUUUAAUCAAGGAUGCAUUAAAUUGAUCAAAAUAAUGCUAUGAGAAUAAUAUUUUAAAAUAAUAAUUUAAAUAUUGAAAUAUAAAAUUAAAGAAAAAAUGAAAUGAUACUUUAAAAUAUGUAAUUUAAGAUGCCAGUAGGUGGCGACAAGUCACUGAGUGAGUCAUUGAUUCAUUCAGACAAUUUGUUCAAAUGGCUGUUUCGUUCAGGAAUGAAACAUCAAUGUUUUCAGAGACACACUGCAGCUUUGUUCGAAACAGACCAGAUUAACUUCUUGUUUAACUGUAUAUAA